rnacentral:lncRNA from 1 species
CACGUGGUACACGACAUCCAAACCCUGAAGGCGAGCCACUUUAGUGCACGGGUACGGAAGGAAAUAAACUUGUGUGGCUUGUUAAGCCACAAUAUAUACAUCCUUGCAUUCGAAUACACUAUCUCGUUUUACUUCGACUAGGCCAAUUGUGUCAUCCUUGUUAACAUGUUUCGGAUCGAUCCAACGGCAUUUGAAUACAACGACCUUUGGAGGUUUGGGGCCGCGGUAUUGUAGUUCGUAUAUCUCCUCAACCCUUCCAUAGAAGUCAUCUCCACCGCAUUCUACGAACACCCCAGAAUUU